GGUAUAUGUGGCAGAGCAGCAAUGAACUUGUGCCGCGCGCGUGCUGUUUUUCAAGAUUCUCCAUUACAAUCUUGCGGCACAUGUAUGAAACACUAAAUAUAGACAAAAAUAAAAAACUAAUUGCAGUAAAUCGCGAGAUGAAUUUUUUAAGCCUAGUUACUAUAUGAUUAAACAAUGCUGGUCAAAUAAAAGCAAAAGUGCUACAGUUUUCGAAAACCAAAAAAUUUUCAGAACUCCACAAUAAUAAAAAGCGGCAUCGGGUUGUGCUGCUGAACUGCAUAGGGGGCUGAUAACAUCUGCAGAUUUUUGUAGUAUAAAACACUGUUAUAAAUUAAGAAAUAUCAUGUCAUGUGAUCACAUUAAUCUUGAUAACCCUGAUAAUGUUGUCGGCUAGAUUUGACCCUCAACUCCUUCACAUAAUAAGGAGCAAAUGGCAUGUACACUGGCGAUCAAACUCCUAGGGAGGGUCAAACGGAGAGGAGGUACAUCACACAUUACUGUGUUAGUAAAACCUAUAGAUGUUCAACUGAUCAAUAAUGCAUGAUGCGUGUAUGGUCUUGGCGUUGUCUAAGAGCAAGACUAAUAAUAUAUACAGUCCACUUAUUAACCCACUUAUAUAUAUAUUAGUUGGCUCACCUAUAACCUACUUUUAUCUCAUAAAUUUUUUUAGCACUUGUACAUAAGUUGGCUGUAAACUUAUAACACAUUUCUCUAGCUCAGCAAAACUCAUCUACAGUACUUUAUUAUACUUCUAAUUCAACCUUGCGCAACUUUCCUUCAAUAUUUAUGCUCAUUGCUCAUUCACUCUCUCAAUUAGUUUUUUUAGGGGAACUCUCUUCCUCAAUUGGUGUAUCCUCCUUGGGGCUAGAAUUGGAGGAUCGGUCCUUCAAUAGGUUUGAAUUUAUGAUUUCAUAUCGGGCCAAUAUUCUUAAUUGGGCCGGAGGCUAGGAUAGAGCGGCGGGUUAUGCUCGGUUCACUAUUUCCCUAUCUUUUUUUUGUUUAUCUUUUCUUUUCUCUUAUUAUUUCUUUUUUUUUGUUUUCUAUCCUUGCUUCUAUUUAUUUUAUAUUUUUCAUUGUUUUUAUUUCUUUGGUUUUCAUUAUUCUUAUCAUUGUUUUCUUUUAUCUAUAUUUUACCAUAAUUACUUAUUUUCUUUAUUUCAUUUCAUUUCAUAUUUCAAUGUUUUGUUCCUUAUCAUUUUUUUUCUACUUAUAUUUACUUUCCCUAUUCUUGUAUGUUUUCUAUGGAUUUUUAUUAUUUCCAUUGUAGUUUCUUUACUCGGCAGACAAUUGCAUGUGUGUACAUUUGUGAUGUGUAUUCUGUAUCUUUAUGUGUUAUAUUAUAUCACGUACCAAAACAUUUGACUUUGCUUGACUAUAGAAACAAUUUUGUGUAUUGCGAUGUGUCUUUUGUAUUUUUGUGCGCUACAUCAUAAACCAACAUUUGGUUUUGCUUAAUUAUAGAAAUAAUUUAGGCAACUGUGAUGUGUCUUCUACAUUUGUGUGGGUUACAUCACAUACCAAAACAUUUGACUUUGUUUUUCUACUCCAUUCGUUCCAAAUUAUAAGUUGUUUUGACUUUUUUGAUACGUAGAAUUUGCUAUGGUGUAUAUAGACAUACAUUAUAUCUAGACAAACCUUUUUCGAUAAUCGGACAAAAGUUUUGUCAAACUAAUAAACCAACAUUUGGUUUUGCUUAAUUAUAGAAAUAAUUUAGGCAACCGUGAUGUGUCUUCUACAUUUGUGUGGGUUACAUCACAUACCAAAACAUUUGACUUUGUUUUUCUCUCCAUUCGUUCUAAAUUAUAAGUCGUUUUGACUUUUUUGAUACGUAGAAUUUGCUAUGGUGUAUAUAGACAUACAUUAUAUCUAGACAAACCUUUUUCGAUAAUCGGACAAAAGUUUUGUCAAACUAAUAAACCAACAUUUGGUUUUGCUUAAUUAUAGAAAUAAUUUAGGCAACCGUGAUGUGUCUUCUACAUUUGUGUGGGUUACAUCACAUACCAAAACAUUUGACUUUGUUUUUCUACUCCAUUCGUUCCAAAUUAUAAGUCGUUUUGACUUUUUUGAUACGUAGAAUUUGCUAUGGUGUAUAUAGACAUACAUUAUAUCUAGACAAACCUUUUUCGAUAAUCGGACAAAAGUUUUGUCAAACUACUACAUGUACUUCAUGAGGUCCCUUGUCGUGGUUGGAAUCCUUGGAAUGUUGCACGGAGGUCCUUCUGAGCUGGUCCCAUGAAAUGGAUGGAGAAAGGCUUCAAUAAAAUAUACCAGUCAUGUACCAUUAUGAUUGAUUUUGCCAGUGCUAGGUUAUCGCCUCCUAAGAUAAUCAUUGUCACAUUUGUUUUUGUAGCUUCUCGAUUUCUUGCUUGUGUGCUUCUAGUUUUGCCAAGGCUUGGUUUUUGUUGGUUUCUUGCAUGUCUUCACUCUCAAAGCUAGGCGUCAUCUUCGUCUCUAAAUGUGUCAUAACUGAGGUACCAUUCGAGUAAAUCUCCCAUUGGGUAUGCUUCCUUGUCUAUCUCCAUGCCAUGCGAGCCUUUAGGGUUGGGUGGGAUAGUUGCGUUUUUCUUUCAUCUUGCUCUUUGGAUGGGGGUAGGAGCAUUGGAAAGUUCGCAAUAACCAUAGGUGGAUGCAUCUUCAACAUCUUAAAGGCCGAUGACUUCACAUCUUCAGCACCCAUUCGGAGACAACUUUGCAUUCCCCAUGUGACCUCAUGCCUUCGGGCUUUUCGAAAACAGCUUUGCCAAACCACGUACAACUCUCUAGAUUUGGCUAGAUGCCUUAAAUUUUGAAGAUGGCUUCACUAAACCCUUUGGUUGUCCCAUGGAUGGUGUCACUUACCUGCGCGACAUGUGAAUGACCCUAUUUUGUUAAGAGAACUACGGAGGGGAGAGAUUCUCUACCUGGAAAUGUGUGAAUGUCCUGUGAAAUGACAUCUUUUGUAUAUGUCAAAGGUUAAUAAGAAACUAAUAUGUGAAUUAGUGAAGAGAGGAUGCCCAGUGAAGGAUAUAGACAUGCCCCAGCAGGUAUUAUUUGAAAAACAUAUGUGUGAACAAAGAAACAUAUAGUUUAUGCUGUAACUAUUUAAAUUUUAUAAGAGAUAUAGCGUAACCUCUUCAGUCUUCACUUCACUCGACCAAGUAACUGAAUGAACAUUGUUGGUAAAAGCUUGAAACAAAAACAGAGAGACCAACCAUGUGAUAUAUUUAAACCAAAGGGGCAUAUGAGAUAGCAGCGGCUCUCUCGUAAACGGUGACUUAUCACUUUCGUUUUUAUUUGUUAAUUAUUAUCUAAUUGUAAACUAACUAAAUUUAAAAGAUUCGUCUCGCAAAUUACAGGUAAACUAUAUAAUUAAUUAUUCUUUUAUUUAUAUUUAAUGUUCUAUGUAUGUGCCCAAAAAUUUCGAUGUAAUAGAGAAUCUUAAAAAAAAUUUAGAUUUUAGUGUAAAACCUAUACACGCCAUUAUCAACAAAAUACUACAGAGCAGAGACAGCUUAUUAGCAUAUGGCAUGC
rnacentral:lncRNA from 1 species